AUAUAGCAAAAUGGAUAACGCGUUGAACUACUACUUUGAAGGCCGUGGGUUCGAAUCCCGCUUGAGAUG